AGAGUUUGAUCCUGGCUCAGAACGAACGCUGGCGGCAUGCCUAACACAUGCAAGUCGAACGCUUUUGGGGCUUCGGCCGCAAAGGAGUGGCGCACGGGUGAGUAGCGCGUGGGAACCUGCCCUGUUGUGGGGGAUAACCGAGGGAAACUUCGGCUAAUACCGCAUGCGCCCGGGCAACCGGGGAAAGAUUUAUCGCAGCAGGAGGGGCCCGCGUCGGAUUAGCUGGUUGGGGGGGUAACGGCCUACCAAGGCUCCGAUCCGUAGCUGGUCUGAGAGGAUGCUCAGCCACACUGGGACUGAGACACGGCCCAGACUCCUACGGGAGGCAGCAGUGGGGAAUAGUGGACAAUGGGCGCAAGCCUGAUCCAGCAAUGCCGCGUGAGUGAUGAAGGCCUUAGGGUUGUAAAGCUCUUUCGCCCGCGACGAUGAUGACGGUAGCGGGAGAAGAAGCCCAGGAUAACUUCGUGCAAGCAGCCGCGGUUAC
rnacentral:rRNA from 1 species